rnacentral:rRNA from 1 species
CCCUUAGAUGUUCUGGGCUGCACGCGCGCUACACUGAAGCUAUCAACACGUUUUCCCUCCCUGAGAAGGGCGGGUAACCUUUUGAAUCAGCUUCGUGGUAGGGAUCGGGGCUUGCAAUUGUUCCCCGUGAACCAGGAAUUCCUAGUAGACGCGAGUCAUAAGCUCGCAUCGAUUAAGUCCCUGCCCUUUGUACACACCGCCCGUCGCUACUACCGAUUGAACGUUUUAGUGAGGCAUUUGGACCGACGCAUCUCAGUUUAACCGCUGGUUUGUGUUGGAAAGACUUCCAAACUUGAGCGUUUAGAGGAAGUAAAAGUUGUAACA